GUGGGGAAUCUUGCGCAAUGGGCGAAAGCCUGACGCAGCCAUGCCGCGUGAAUGAUGAAGGUCUUAGGAUUGUAAAAUUCUUUCACCGAUGAAGAUAAUGACGGUAGUCGGAGAAGAAGCCCCGGCUAACUUCGUGCCAGCAGCCGCGGUAAUACGAAGGGGGCUAGCGUUGCUCGGAAUUACUGGGCGUAAAGGGAGCGUAGGCGGAUAGUUUAGUCAGAGGUGAAAGCCCAGGGCUCAACCUUGGAAUUGCCUUUGAUACUGGCUAUCUUGAGUAUGGAAGAGGUAUGUGGAACUCCGAGUGUAGAGGUGAAAUUCGUAGAUAUUCGGAAGAACACCAGUGGCGAAGGCGACAUACUGGUCCAUUACUGACGCUGAGGCUCGAAAGCGUGGGGAGCAAACAGGAUUAGAAACCCGUGUAGUCC
rnacentral:rRNA from 1 species